rnacentral:lncRNA from 1 species
UCUGAUACAGCAAGGCACUCGAGCUUAGGUGAAUCACACAACCUAAGAACAAGCAAAAGUCUCUACAAGGCGGCGGCUUGAGAGGAAGAAAGUUCUACUUUAUUGAUAUGAGAAAAAGCGUGAAUGUUACAAAGCUGCAGGGGAACCUUAUAAAGGGGUUCGUCAGCUAGCCCUAGGGCGACUCAAAUAACCAAAAACGACACAGCAACAGGACUUAAUGGAAAUUAAAAGAAAAAGGAAAAAGUACUUAAACAACAAAAAUGGAAAAUAAGCAAAAAUAAGCUAACUACGUUGCUCACUUGCUGGGGCUCGUUCCCUGGUCUCUU